rnacentral:rRNA from 1 species
GAUGAACGCUGGCGGCGUGCUUAACACAUGCAAGUCGAACGAUGAAGCCCAGCUUGCUGGGCGGAUUAGUGGCGAACGGGUGAGUAACACGUGAGUAACCUGCCCUUAACUCUGGGAUAAGCCCGGGAAACUGGGUCUAUUACCGGUAAGGCGCGCCUGUCGCAUGACGGGUGCUGCGAAGAUCUUUCGGUCAUGGGUGGACAGGCGGCCUUUCCGCUUGUUGGUGGGGUAACGGCUCACAGAGGCGGCGACGGGUCGCCGGCCUGAGAGGGUGACCGGACACACUGGGACUGAGACACGGCCCAGACCGCUACGGGAGGCAGCAGUGGAGAAUAUGGCACAAUGGGCGAGAGCCUGAUGAAGCGACGCCGCGAGAGGGAUGACGGCCAUCGUGGGGGAAACCGCAGUCAGCAGGGAAGAAGCGAAAUUGACGGUACCUGCAGAAGAAGCACCGGCUAACUACGUG